CCCUUAGAUGUUCUGGGCUGCACGCGCGCUACACUGAAGCUAUCAACACGUUUUCCCUCCCUGAGAAGGGCGGGUAACCUUUUGAAUCAGCUUCGUGGUAGGGAUCGGGGCUUGCAAUUGUUCCCCGUGAACCAGGAAUUCCUAGUAGACGCGAGUCAUAAGCUCGCAUCGAUUAAGUCCCUGCCCUUUGUACACACCGCCCGUCGCUACUACCGAUUGAACGUUUUAGUGAGGCAUUUGGACCGACGCAUCUCAGUUUAACCGCUGGUUUGUGUUGGGAAGACUUCCAAACUUGAGCGUUUAGAGGAAGUAAAAGUCGUAACA
rnacentral:rRNA from 1 species